CAAGUCGAGCGAACCGCAAGGGUUAGCGGCGGACGGGUUAGUAACGCGUGGGAAUAUGCCCAAAGGUACGGAAUAGCCCAGGGAAACUUGGAGUAAUACCGUAUGUGCCCUUCGGGGGAAAGAAUUUAUCGCCUUUGGAUUAGCCCGCGUUGGAUUAGGUAGUUGGUGGGGUAAUGGCCUACCAAGCCGAACGAAUCCAUAGCUGGUUUGAGAGGAUGAUCAGCAACACUGGGACUGAGACACGGCCCAGACUCCUACGGGAGGCAGCAGUGGGGAAUCUUAGACAAUGGGGGAAACCCUGAUCUAGCCAUGCCGCGUGGACGAUGAAGGCCUUAGGGUUGUAAAGUCCUUUCAGCUGGGAAGAAUAAUGACGGUACCAGCAGAAAAAGCCCCGGCUAACUCCGUGCCAGCAGCCGCGGUAAUACGGAGGGGGCUAGCGUUGUUCGGAAUUACUGGGCGUAAAGCGCGCGUAGGCGGACUGGAAAGUUGGGGGUGAAAUCCCAGGGCUCAACCCUGGAACUGCCUUCAAAACUCCCAGUCUGGAGUUCG
rnacentral:rRNA from 1 species